rnacentral:rRNA from 1 species
GACGUAGGGCGCGAGCGUUGUCCGGAUUUAUUGGGCGUAAAGAGCUCGUAGGCGGCUUGUCGCGUCGAAUGUGAAAUCUCAGGGCUCAACUCUGACAUUGCAUUCGAUACGGGCAGGCUAGAGUUCGGUAGGGGAGACUGGAAUUCCUGGUGUAGCGGUGAAAUGCGCAGAUAUCAGGAGGAACACCGGUGGCGAAGGCGGGUCACUGGGCCGACUACUCGUGAGGAGCGAAAGCUGGGGAGCGAACAGG